AGCGGCGGACGGGUGAGUAACGCGUGGGUAACCUGCCUCAUACAGGGGGAUAACAGUUGGAAACGGCUGCUAAUACCGCAUAAGCGCACAGUACCGCAUGGUACCGUGUGAAAAACUCCGGUGGUAUGAGAUGGACCCGCGUCUGAUUAGCUAGUUGGUGGGGUAACGGCCUACCAAGGCGACGAUCAGUAGCCGACCUGAGAGGGUGACCGGCCACAUCGGGACUGAGACACGGCCCAA
rnacentral:rRNA from 1 species